rnacentral:lncRNA from 1 species
GAGCUGGGUCCCCCAGCCGCGGGGUGCUGAGGCCGCCGCGGGGUGCCGGAGGCCUCCGCCGCGAGUCCUCGGGUACCCGGUCUGCAGUCUUCUCCUUCCUGCCGCUCCCUACCCCCAAGGGACUUCUUUGAGGCAAACUCCGCAGCACGUUCUCAGGGUCCUCUUCCCUUAAAUGCAUUACAAGAAUCUUCAGGUUUCUAUUUAUUCAUUCAAUACCGGGAAUGGAACACCCAGUGCCCUUGUACAUGGCAGGCAAGUGCCACCACUGAACUACUCCCCAGCCCUGUUUGUUUUAAUUGGAGCCCAGAACCAGACAAUUCCUCUCAACAGGGUCAAACCAGCUUAUUUUCUGCAUUCUCCAUUUUCACAGAGGUAUGUAUUCUCAAUACUGUAUUUGCUGCACGGCCAUGUUCCCU